rnacentral:tRNA from 1 species
AUUUAUAUAGUUUAAAGAAAACAUUAUAUUUUCAUUAUAAAGUUAGAAAUCUUUCUUAUAAAUA